AUUCCGGCGAAGGCGUAAAAAUUAAUAAAAUAUCAGUUUUGUGGGGCAUAGGGAAACACGUUACUUCCUUUCGUCUGCUUGGGGUACUACGAACAACUGUUUAAAACUCGAAGAACUUGGCCGUGCUGCAUAACCAUCCACGGGCUCUUGACGUUUAAUCCUAUGAUCCGCGUGAUAUCUUACCUACCCUUGUCAAAUCAGGUGAUGUAUGGCCGUCGAAAUGGCGCUUGAAGUGAUUGUUCAACAAAGUUGUGCAAAACCUCAACAUCUAAAGAAUUAAGGUUACAAGGUCAACACAGUUGGAGGUUCUAGGUCAGGUCGACACGUCCCCCAUGGGUAAGGGAUUAGUUGAGAGGCAAAUUCUUAAACGUAACGAGUCGUCAGUUGAAAUACUGCCGGCAAGGAGGACUUGGGAGUAAAAGGAGAGUAACUUGUUCCUUAGAAAUGAUGCAACUGCAGCGGGUACAAAUCGCCCGUCAAUCUAGCCGAGAGGGGAGAU
rnacentral:rRNA from 1 species